AUAUUCUAAGGCUUUUUAUUAUAUAUAUUGAUAUUCAUUUAAAUGACAAUGAUAACAUAAAUUAACAAUAGUCCAUCUAUACACAUACUUUCUAUCUUACAUCACACUUCUAAAUAAUAUAACAGGAAAACCUUAACUAUGAUGACAAAUAUAUAACAAGCAAAAUUCUCAUUCUGUGGUACAAAUAAACUUCACAAAACAAUUCAAUACCUUUUGAAAACAGAUGCAAAGAAUACCUUUUGGUGGUCAACAUUCAUGGUUUGAAGUUAUUUUGAUGGUCCAUUUACUAUUUGAAUACAUAAGAUAACUGUAUGAACUCAUUGAAUAAUUCACAAUAAAAUAUUUUAUUUAUUCAAAUCUUUUUCCACCUUUCCCUUCUACCAAUUUUGCUACCUUUCCUCCUGUUGGCCAAUUAAUUUAUUACUGAUAUACAUCAUGUACAUAUAAGAAUAAUACACAAUGUCUACCAAGUUAAUCUGAUAUACAUUUAAGAAUAAUUUACAAUGUCUAUGAGAUCAGAAACACUAAAUAUAAAAUGAGCAAUACAACACAUUUAUACAAAUCAAAUCCAAGAUAACGGUUAUCUAACAUAUAUAUGAAUAAUUCUACCCAAGCUAAGUCUGUACUGAAAAAUGUAUACAGCUGACCAUAAUACAGGUUUUCUACUGAGGAUUAACAUGAAUAGUUCCCCUCUUUUCGUUUUUGUUUAAACUGCAUGAGAAUCUUCAAUUACAUAUGAAAUAGAAAUGACCUCAGUCAAACAGUUAUUCUGGUAUUGGCAGUAUCAAUAUGGGAUUACUAUGGCUUUGUAAGUUUGUUUUUCUACUUUAGGGUUUAAAUGUCCUUUUUGGUAUCUUUUGCCUCUUGUGCUAAAAAAUAUUCAGUAUUCUAUGAAAAAAAUUGCAAUAAACCCUUAUACAUAAAAUCACUUUAAAUAAUAAAAAAAUGGAAUAUUAUAAUCACAGAUGGUAGGCUAAUAUAAAUAAAUUAAAAUAAAUAAAUUAAAGGGUAUUUAUUUAAUAGAAAUAGGAUUGAAUAUGUUUAAACUUUGUAUGUAUUAUACUACAAAAUUCAUGAAAUGAAUGUAAUUUUUUGUGUCUUUUUGUAAUUGCAUUGGCGUUUAAAAGCAUUGACCGUAGGCCAUAUUUUAAAUGUUGGCACAAUCAACCCUUACAACCUUUUUCAGCUUUUCUCAUCACUUGGCGUCCGGCGUCCGUCGUUAACUUUUACAAAAAUCUUCUCCUCUGAAACUACUGGGCCAAGUUAAACUAAUCUUGGCCACAAUCAUCAUUGGGGUAUCUAGUUUAAAAAAUGUGUGGCGUGACCCGGCCAACCAACCAAGAUGGCCACCAUGGCUAAAAAUAGAACAUAGGGGUAAAAUGCAGUUUUUGGCUUAUAACUCAAAAACCAAAGCAUUUAGAGCAAAUCUGACUGGUGUAAAAUUGUUUAUCAGGUCAAGAUCUAUCUGCCCUAGAAUUUUCAGAUGAAUCAGACAACCCGUUGUUGGGUUGCUGCCCCUAAAUUGGUAAUUUUAAGGAAAUUUUACUGUUUUUGGUUAUUAUCUUGAAUAUUAUUAUAGAUAGAGAUAAACUGCUAACAGCAAUAAUGUUCAGCAAAGUUAGAUUUACAAAUAAGUCAAUAUGACCGAAAUGGUCAGUUGACCCCUUUAGGAGUUAUUGCCCUUUAUAGUCAAGUCUUAAAGUCCCCUUUACUUUAUAGUCAAGUCUUAAAGUCCCCUUUACGAAAAAUGGUUCAAAAUGAACUUUGCCCAGUAGUUUCAGCGGAAAUGUUAGUAAAAAUUUACAAAUUUUAUAAAAAUUGUUAAAAAUUGACUAUAAAGGACAAUAACUCCUUAGGGGGUCAAUUGACUUCGUAAAAUCAAAGUUCAUUUUGAACCAUUUUUCGUAAAUCUUGGUAAUCUUUUACAAAAAUCUUCUCCUCUGAAACUACUGGGCCAAAUUAAUCCAAACUUGGCCACAAUCAUCUUUGGGGUAGCUAGUUUAAAAAAUGUGUCGGGUGACCUGGCCAUCCAACCAAGAUGGCUGCCAUGGCUAAAAAUAGAACAUAGGGGUAAAAUGCAGUUUUUGGCUUAUAACUCAAAAACCAAAGCAUUUAGAGCAAAUCUGACAUGGGUAAAAUUGUUUAUCAGGUCAAAAUCUAUCUGCCUUGAAAUUUUCAGAUGAAUCAAACAACCCGUUGUUGGGUUGCUGCCCCUAAAUUGGUAAUUUUAAGGAAAUUUUACUGUUUUGGGUUAUUAUCUUGAAUAUUAUUAUAGAUAGAGAUAAACUUCAAACAGCAAUAAUGUACAGCAAAGUAAGAUUUACAAAUAAGUCAACAUGACUGAAAUGGUCAAUUGACCCCCUAAGGAGUUAUUGUCCUUUAUAGUCAAUUUUAAACAAUUUUUAUAAAAUUUGUAAAUUUUUACUAACAUUUCCGCUGAAACUACUGGGCAAAGUUCAUUAUAGAUAGAGAUAACUGUAAGCAGCAAGAAUGUUCAGUAAGGUAAGACGUACAAACACAUCACCAUCACCAAAACACAAUUUUGUCAUGAAUCCAUCUGCUUCCUUUGUUUAAUAUUCACAUAGACCAAGGUGAGCGACACAGGCUCUUUAGAGCCUCUAGUCUGAAGCAUUGUAGUUACGAUGUCAUGGGAAGUAAACGCAGUCAUGUUCAUUGAAUAUUAUUGAGAAAUACAAUUUGAUAUUGCAAUGCUCUGAGUUUACUUUCAGCCAAUAAAAAGUACACACUUUUGUUGUAAUUGCUGUAAUAUAAAUGCAAUUCAUGAUUUCUUGAAAUGUUUAUGGUCUUUUGAAAUGUUUUCCUGAAACUCUCAAUUAAAAGGUGUACAUCUAUAUUGUCUAUUUAAGGAAUGACUGUAAUAUUUUUUCUGUCUAUGAAAAAAUAACAUAAAAAAUGUAGUGCACACUGAAUAACGCGUGUAGCGAAUAGACAGAAAAAAUAUUAAAGUCAUUUCUUAUAAUUUAAUUCUAAAUUCCAUUUUAAACCGUAGAAAACCUUGAAAAAAUGUUGAUGACGUCACGGUCACAUGACUAAAUUAUGUCUAUGGUCUGAUAACAAAAUAACGUCAGCCAAUCAGAAGACGUUUAACAUCCAAAAUUAAAUUAUAUCAGGUUAUUUGCUACAAUCACAGACUAACAGCAACGACUACAAGUUUGUUCUUUAAGCAACACAUUUUUUCUGUAUUCAAGGACUUAAAAUAAGAUAAAAUGAUCGGUAUUCAUCUGAAUAACAGAAAAGACUUCUAAUUUGUUCUUUAAGCAACACAUUUUUUUGUGUAUUCAAGGACUUAAAAUAAGUUAAUAUGAUCACUGUACAUCUGUGCAUCUAUUACUUUAGUCCUAUUGUUAUCAAUAAAAAGAUUACCAAAUUAUUGUUUGUAAGGUAAAGAAUCAAUAAUUCUUAACAUGAUAAAUAAAAUUUGCCAAUUUAAGGGAAAAAAUCUCAUGUGAUAUGUUUAAACAAUAAAACAAAGCUCUCAACAAAAUUGAUUUGCUGCAUAAUGUAUGGCAAUAGAAAUAUCAGUGUAAGAAAAAGACUAUUUUGUUAGUACA
rnacentral:lncRNA from 1 species